GUUCCUUCUCAGUCUGGCACAGAACUGAAUUAAGGAGUGAGAUUUAAAAGACAGAAAAAAAGUCUGUUUUAGACACUGCCGUUGUUUGACAUCAUAUUUUAUUUCCACUGUUGUCUGUGAUAUCAAAUGUGUGAAGGCUGAGGACUCCAGUACUUGGAACUGAAGAAAAUACCCUCUUUGGAUUUCAUACAAGAACUUUCCCCCAGCCUUUCAGAAGAUAAAGAAGAGAGGCAAGUAGUGUUGACUGUUUAGUCUGUAAGAAAGCCGCUGCUUUACACAGUCCAUCUCUUCCAGAAUCACUGUUCUGAUAAUUCUGUCAGACUGGGGGAACUCUUCGAGCGUUCUCCCUUCCUGGAUGGCACGGUUUCUCCAUCAAGCCAUGGGAGAGUUAAUUUCGAAAAGAAAGCAAACAGUAAGACUUGAUCUUUGGCAAAGUUGGGGCUAGGAUGUUCCCACAUAUCCAUGCCCAUUGAGAAGAGAAGGCUGUUUUUCUUAAAAGCAAUGAUCUUAGUAUUCAUGAUACUUAGUGGUAAACUAGCAAAGCUUUCAAGUAGGCAUGAAAACAAAUAUCACAAUUUAUCUCAGUUCUGUGUUUCUUGUUAUAAAGGGUGUGCGCUUUUGCUUUCAAUGUUUUCCACAUUUUUUUUGUCUUAUUUCCAGUUAACCUCAUUUUAGAUCUUUUUUUCUUUCCCUUUGGUCAAAGCAUUUCUGAAUUUCUGCCAAAAAGUUACUAUGCAAGCCUGUUGUACUCAAGAGUUGGAUUCCUCAUGACUAGCAACCUCAAAAUAGUGUCUAUUCUUGUUUUAGAGGGAAAACGAGAGAGGAAAGAAACCUUAGGAACAAACACAUAAGGAUGAAGCCAAACAACCGUUACAGAGCAUUCUGGAACCAAUCUUCUAUUAAAUGUUAGAUUGGCCACUGAUGGAUCUAAUCCACAAUGUAGAAAAACCUGCAGAUGAAAUACAGUCCAGUCCAGUUUUACUAAUUAGUGCUAUGGGAAGCUACCUGUUUUUGCUUCCUGGCUAUUUAUGUUUGGAAACUGAGGCACCGUAGAAUGUUUCUGUUUUUGCCAAUGAACAAAAUAAGAAAUUUCACCAGAGUUAAAUUACAAGUUCAACCAAUGGGACAAAUUUCACAAUUUGUGCAGAGAAAAAUCGACAUUUUACAGUGAAACAGCUUUUCAGUAUGACAGUGGAGAUAGAAGAGAGAGACAUCUUAGCUAAGUUUCAGGUUUGAAACACUUAGAAUCCCUGGAAUUACAGAUUCAGUCUCAUUUUAGCCCUUGUUCUUUUCAGGAAAGAUUUAAGUUGGUUGUGUAGCUGUCUUUCAGAUGAGACUUUAAAAACUAAGGUUGGCAUGAACUUAAAGAAGUCAUGGCACUUUUGGGGUAAAAAUGGUGAUUUAACCUACCCAGAGUCCUCAGUCAAACUUUCACACUCGCCCUCCCCAUUGGGUAGUGUACCAUGCACUGAUUGGUUUUUGUUCUCUAACCCAGAGAAGGUUGCAUUUCAGUGGU